GUGGAGCAGUCUGGUAGCUCGUCGGGCUCAUAACCCGAAGGUCGCGGGUUCAAAUCCCGCC
rnacentral:tRNA from 1 species